GCUGCUAAUGGGCAAACCCGCCGAAAGGCGGGGACGCAAAGCCACCGGUCUAAAGCGAGGAGCUAUGACAGCGGGGUUGCCAGC
rnacentral:ncRNA from 1 species